rnacentral:lncRNA from 1 species
GCACCUCCUCCACACUGAUGUAGAACUUCCUUUCUGAGAUGCACCCACCUCUGCCAACUCUGUCUCAACCACUCCCUUUGCCAAUGGAAGUGCAAAUUUGUUAGCAUAGAUUAUGACAAGUAAGUGGUUUUUUAAAAUUGUUUUUAGGCUUCCAUCUGUGUCUCUUUAUUAACUCUCGAGUGGUCCAGUGAUGCAUGAACUCCGUGCCACCUUGCUUUGAUCUUCAGUUUAUUUUCCUUAGGCCUCCAUUCCCACUUGAAAUACAGUCUCAGUGAGCCCACGCCCCGACUCUGUCCCCUUCCUUACCCCACUGUCCCCCAUUUCCUCCUGCCUUGGCACACUUACUCUGCCUUAAACAUAUGCUUAAGCAUUUGACUCCUUGUGAAGUGCCUGUCUCUGCUCUCUUGGUACCUCAGUCAUGUGUGUUAAUACAUGUGUGUUGUGGCGGUGAGUUAUACUUCCUGUAGAGCCUCCUAGACUACAACCUCUGUUCCAAGGAAAGGUACAUGUGUGUGUGCAUAGCAUUUGUAUACAAAGUCCUUUCUCGGAUGCUCAGUUGUAAUUUUUUUUUAUUAGAACUCAGCUGACUUGGAAAUUAGCUUACAGAUGGAACAUUCUUGUGGUUUUAUUCUGUGCGGUGAGGCUAAUAUAUAAGCCCCUCUUUAUUUUUCUCUAUACUCUUUUUUUGCUAUACCUUUAUGUUCCCUGUUGCUGCCAUUUCUUUUUAUGAAUGCCAUUUUGUUUUGUUAAUUUGUAUCCUGUAGCUUUUGGUACUUUUAAAAUCAAUCUCUUUCUCUCUCUCUCUCAUCUCCCCCCUCCACUUUUGACCUCCCCCCCUUCCCUUCUCCCUCUCCCUCCCCUUCCCCACGCCCUCCCUCCCUCCCUCCCUCCUCCAAGAUAGGGUCUCACUACGUAGCUCUGGCUGCAGACCUAUGCAGCUUGUUGGCUGCUUAUUUGAAUCAAGAGCUUGUGUCUGUUACGGCUCCACAGGUCCCUUUAGUUGCAGGUACUGGUUAUGGAAUAGAGGGAAAGGAGUAAGAAUUGUUUGGGAAAAAACUAAGAAACAAUUAUAAUGAGAAUUGUUGGGGCUGAAAGGUGAUAUCAUUGUUUUCUAUAUUACUAGUGUUCCAUAUAGAAGAUGAAUUCAUUGCAUUGACUGUUUUAACUGGAUCAAAAAGAAAGUGAAUU